rnacentral:lncRNA from 1 species
CAUCAGAGGCCCAAAUUUGUCAACAACAUUCAUGCAGACAGUUUGGCAUGUGUUUAAGUGACCUCUUGAAUCAGGCUCUGUGGCAACCAAGACGCAUUUAAUUCACGUAUCAUCAAGUAUUCCCAUUGCCAGCACAGGUCACACUAAACCCAGAGUUACCCCUGGUUUGCAGAAUAAAAGACCUGACACCUCAGCUUACCGCACUACACUGGAAAAUGUUUCCUUAUCUUUAUCAGCUUAGCUGAAGCUGCACAACUUUGACUGGGUCUCUUUCAAGUGCCUGAAAAAGGGGAAAUCUGAAUGGUUCAAAAACAGGAACUUGCUUCAUGACACAGGCUCAUACCUUUGAGAAGGGAAAGUUUCAUUUCUGGCACGUAGGAAGACAAGUGUGGGCAGGAGGCAGCACCAAGUUGUUCAAGAUUCUCUGCCUAUUUUUAACUAUUUCCUGCCAUUUUAGGGAGAAUUGGAACACAAAAUCCAAGCAAGUUUUGCACAAAUGAGUAACAAGUCUGAGCAUGGCAAUUAAAACAACACUGUUAUGCCUUUAUUUAGAGUGAAAUAUCUACAUUUGUUUACUUAAACCAGCCAUCUACCCAAAUCCUCAAAAAUAAAUCAAAUCAUAAAUGCCUCCAAUCCUAUCAAAUGUUAUUAUGGCUUAACUCUUCUGAUAGGAUUAUACAUCUUGGCACAGUGACUGGAUGCAGUUCUAAAGCAGCACAGCCUGGCUCCCAGUAGCACAAAAGCCAGCAAUUCCAGCCUGGGAUGACUUGCUGUCACAGGAUCCAGCCACUCGGCACUGUCUGCCUAUUUCCCAAAGGUUGAUGAGCAAAUGCAACGUGUCCUCAGCUCCCCUACCUCUGCUGAGCACCUCCAGGGCCAGUGACGGUUCCCUCCUCAGCCAGAGGGAACCCGUGCCCUGGUUUGCAGGAAAUCUCCUCAUUUCCUGAUGAGGUGGGAGGGAGGCACAAGAACAGUGCACUCGGGCAUCUUCUCCUGCAGCUGAGCCAGAGGGCAGGAAACAAGUGAGAUUCUUGGAAUGAGCUGCUAAGCCCACACCACAGAGAGGCCCUGCUGCCACUGCAGCACUUGUGUCAAGCCAACAGCUCAUCUGUUCCUGUGGGCUGCAUUUUCACCACGUAACCCACAGCCUCAGGUGGCUCAUUAGUUAUCUGCACCUUGCUCAGUUACGAGCACAACAUGAGCUUUCUGGCCUCUGAUAAGCAUCGUUUCUGAGAAUGUGUUGGGUGUUCCCUGGAAUGCGUUUCUCUGAUUCAUCCAUUGCACUUUGCCAUCCAACUCGCUGCAAGAUGACAGCGUUUAGGACACAGCACACUUUCAAAGAUCUCUACAUUCACCACAGAGGCUCUGUGUUUUCAAGGGGCGGAGCUUUAUCAUCUUGAACAUCCCAGCAACGCUCAGCCCUGCCGCCUGGCCAGAUAACAGAGAAAACCACUACAUACAGCACUCUAAAGGCAGCAUGGAAGUCAAACCCUGCUAAGCCACUGGACUGACUUACACACAUUGGAAUUAUACACACUGUAGUAACUUUUUUGCUUAUUUGUACUCUCCAAUCAUAUACAAAGAUGCACAUCUAGCUGCUACUACAGUUUAUUUCAAGAAGUCACUAUCACGCUUUGUAUACAAUACAAAUGUUUAUAUACAUUGUAUAUGCACUUCAAAAUAGGAAAUCAUUGCUAAGUAUACCAUAUGUAUAACAUAUAAGAAAACAUAUGUUUAACAACAUGUUUGUAGAUACCAGUUGUAUUCUUGAAUACAUUUCCUGCUGCAUA